GCUGGCGGCGUGCCUAACACAUGCAAGUCGAGCGAGUGGAGUUCUUCGGAACAAAGCUAGCGGCGGACGGGUGAGUAACACGUGGGCAACCUGCCUCAUAGAGGGGAAUAGCCUCCCGAAAGGGAGAUUAAUACCGCAUAAGAUUGUAACUUCGCAUGAAGUAGCAAUUAAAGGAGCAAUCCGCUAUGAGAUGGGCCCGCGGCGCAUUAGCUAGUUGGUGAGGUAACGGCUCACCAAGGCGACGAUGCGUAGCCGACCUGAGAGGGUGAUCGGCCACAUUGGGACUGAGACACGGCCCAGACUCCUACGGGAGGCGGCAGUGGGGAAUAUUGCACAAUGGGGGAAACCCUGAUGCAGCAACGCCGCGUGAGUGAUGACGGCCUUCGGGUUGUAAAGCUCUGUCUUCAGGGACGAUAAUGACGGUACCUGAGGAGGAAGCCACGGCUAACUACGUGCCAGCAGCCGCGGUAAUACGUAGGUGGCGAGCGUUGUCCGGAUUUACUGGGCGUAAAGGGAGCGUAGGCGGACUUUUAAGUGAGAUGUGAAAUACCCGGGCUCAACUUGGGUGCUGCAUUUCAAACUGGAAGUCUAGAGUGCAGGAGAGGAGAAUGGAAUUCCUAGUGUAGCGGUGAAAUGCGUAGAGAUUAGGAAGAACACCAGUGGCGAAGGCGAUUCUCUGGACUGUAACUGACGCUGAGGCUCGAAAGCGUGGGGAGCAUACAGGAUUAGAUACCCUGGUAGGCCACGCCGUAAACGAUGAAUACUAGGUGUAGGGGUUGUCAUGACCUCUGUGCCGCCGCUAACGCAUUAAGUAUUCCGCCUGGGGAGUACGGUCGCAAGAUUAAAACUCAAAGGAAUUGACGGGGGCCCGCACAAGCAGCGGAGCAUGUGGUUUAAUUCGAAGCAACGCGAAGAACCUUACCUAGACUUGACAUCUCCUGCAUUACCCUUAAUCGGGGAAGUUCCUUCGGGGACAGGAAGACAGGUGGUGCAUGGUUGUCGUCAGCUCGUGUCGUGAGAUGUUGGGUUAAGUCCCGCAACGAGCGCAACCCUUAUUGUUAGUUGCUACCAUUUAGUUGAGCACUCUAGCGAGACUGCCCGGGUUAACCGGGAGGAAGGUGGGGAUGACGUCAAAUCAUCAUGCCCCUUAUGUCUAGGGCUACACACGUGCUACAAUGGCAAGUACAAAGAGAAGCAAGACCGUGAGGUGGAGCAAAACUCAAAAACUUGUCUCAGUUCGGAUUGUAGGCUGAAACUCGCCUACAUGAAGCUGGAGUUGCUAGUAAUCGCGAAUCAGCAUGUCGCGGUGAAUACGUUCCCGGGCCUUGUACACACCGCCCGUCACACCAUGAGAGUUGGCAAUACCCAACGUACGUGAUCUAACCCGCAAGGGAGGAAGCGUCCUAAGGUAGGGUCAGCAA
rnacentral:rRNA from 1 species